AACGCACAUUGCGCCCCCUGGUAUUCCGGGGGGCAUGCCUGUUCGAGCGUCAUUUCACCACUCAAGCCUCGCUUGGUAUUGGGCGUCGCGAGUCUCUCGCGCGCCUUAAAGUCUCCGGCUGUUUGACCCGUCUCCCAGCGUUGUGGCAACUAUUUCGCAGUGGAGUUCGAGUUGGAUCGGCCGUUAAAUCUUUCAAAGGUUGACCUCGGAUCAGGUAGGGAUACCCGCUGAACUUAA
rnacentral:misc_RNA from 1 species